CUUAAAUACACAGAGGCUGGAAGAACCUACUGUUCCAGUUGUGACACAGGUUUCCUACUCUUUAAGAAACAAUGGUAACAAUGAAACAUUUAGAUCCAGCGAGUGCUUUUAAUUGCAACCUGUCGUUUGAAGUCUGAGCACCAGUGGUAAGGCAGCUUGGAACAAGACAGGAUCUGAACUCCUCAGCCUUUCACCCACCGUUCCCAUCAAUUGGAAAUACAGCCUUCUUUACCUUUCCUUCUCUCUCAUGAUCUGAUAUUAAUUUAUUUUUUUUAAAUGAAAAUGCUUUAUGCUUCUACAAACGGAAGACUUUCUCUAGAGUAAGAGCAACCCAACGUCUGCAGCGCUGUGCCAGCUCCUCCAUACCAGAACACGAAACGCCGGCGCUAGACAAAGACACCACCGCCUGUCACACCUAGACGGGGGGUACCAACGCUGGCCGGUCUGCCGAAGGGAGUGAGAGAAGAAGGCAGUCCGGCUCCGGGAGGAGUAGAGGAGCCCGAGGGGGUGCGGGGACUCGCGGGGCGGUGGAGACACAGGGUGGGGGCAGAAGUGUGGGGAGGAGAAGGAGGAGGGGAAGGAGGAGGGGGUAGGCGGUGGCGGGGCGUCACGAGAGCCAGCGCUGCCCUUAAAGGGCCGGGCGCGGCCGAGGGGCGCAUCCCUCUCGCCCGCAGCCACAGCGGCAGGAGCAGAAGCAGGCGCACCGGCAGCGCUACAGGACAGCAGCACCAGACGGACAUGGGGACGGCGCUGGCGGCGCGGCUCGGCCUGGGGCUCCUGCUCAUGGCCCUCCUCCUCCCCACGCAGAUUUACUGCGAUGCCAGUGGAACAAAUGGAACAAGUCCAACACCUUCAAACAAUUCUUCAGCAAAUUCCACUUACCUGUCAGCUGUCACAAAUUCACUGAACAAUACCACCACUCAGGGACUUGGGAAUUCCCUUCACUCAACCACAAGUCUUCUUUUCAUUCUCUCAGUUUCUCUUCUGUAUUUUUGCUGUUAAGAAACUCUGGCAUGGAAAUGGCUACCACUCCCACCCAAUUUCCUGAACCAUCUGAGAUGGCUAGAUCUCUGACCCAGCAUGAAAGUAAACCAGACCAAACUCUGCAUCAAACCAGCUUGGUUCCACUCCAUACUCAAAUUAGUACCAGUCUGACCUAGAGAAGCACUCAGUAUUCUGACUUCCCAAAGCUGACCAGUAUGAAAGAACAACUUCAGCAAGAAG
rnacentral:lncRNA from 1 species